rnacentral:rRNA from 1 species
AUUGAACGCUGGCGGCAGGCCUAACACAUGCAAGUCGAACGGUAACAGAAAGCAGCUUGCUGCUUUGCUGACGAGUGGCGGACGGGUGAGUAAUGUCUGGGAAACUGCCUGAUGGAGGGGGAUAACUACUGGAAACGGUAGCUAAUACCGCAUAACGUCGCAAGACCAAAGAGGGGGACCUUCGGGCCUCUUGCCAUCGGAUGUGCCCAGAUGGGAUUAGCUAGUAGGUGGGGUAACGGCUCACCUAGGCGACGAUCCCUAGCUGGUCUGAGAGGAUGACCAGCCACACUGGAACUGAGACACGGUCCAGACUCCUACGGGAGGCAGCAGUGGGGAAUAUUGCACAAUGGGCGCAAGACUGAUGCAGCCAUGCCGAGUGUAUGAAGAAGGCCUUCGGGUUGUAAAGUACUUUCAGCGGGGAGGAAGGGAGUAAAGUUAAUACCUUUGCUCAUUGACGUUACCCGCAGAAGAAGCACCGGCGAACUCCGG